rnacentral:rRNA from 1 species
UACAGAGGGUGCGAGCGUUAAUCGGAAUUACUGGGCGUAAAGCGUGCGUAGACGGUUAUUUAAGUCGGGUGUGAAAUCCCCGGGCUCAACCCGGGAACUGCGUCCGAUACUGGCAGGCUUGAAUCCGGGAGAGGGAUGCGGAAUUCCAGGUGUAGCGGUGAAAUGCGUAGAUAUCUGGAGGAACACCGGUGGCGAAGGCGGCAUCCUGGACCGGCAUUGACGCUGAGGCGCGAAAGCCAGGGGAGCAAACGGG